ensembl:lncRNA
UGUUGUGUUAGAAGAUGUGACAUUGGCACGCACAGCUGGACUUCCUUGAAGUGGCCAGAGAGCCACGUUAGGGGAGCGUUCCCGCUGGCGGCCGCUAACGAGGCCAACGGGGGGGCCGGGCAGCAGGCAAGGGGCCGGGGUGGGCUCCUGUUAGCUGUUAGUUAGGUUUUGGAAAGUAUUGUGAGGGGUGCGGGGGGGGUUUGGCCACUUAUUUCUUCUUUUUUAAACAAAAGGGAAAUCACAGAAUAAGAUGUUCUUACUGCAAUUACCUCCCACGGUCCCGAUAAUGGUCUGUACAGUCUUAUAUGCCAGAGAAAUGAAGGCAAAACAUUUAAAAGUUGUUUGUUAAGAGGAUACCAGGGACAGUGAAAGCUGUGCCUCUCAAAAUGUGCUGCACAUGCAACAAUGAAUUAGGAUAAACGAGAGUUCACUUCAGUGUCACGUCAAAAACUGAGAAACUUAAUUUAAUUUGAAUGCACCAAUAUCAUAUUCACAAUUCAUUCCUCAUGACCAACACUGAAAACUGCAGCAGCUGAUUCAUGUCACACCGCAGCAAAAAAAAGCAUCCGGCGAUGCUUCAUUUACAGCAGCCGUAAAACUGUUGAGCCGCCUCGCCAGGAACAUUAUUCCCCCGGUGCCGAACAUGCAGCUUGCUGCAGACUAUUACCAAGUUACAAGCCCCUGUGAAUGUGCGGAUCUGAAAUAAAACCCUCAGUAAAACCGGCACGUAGCUUGCAGGGGAAAACAUGGCGGUGUGUUCAUGGCUCUUUCCGGGUGGACUUGGCGUCACGGCGGCCAUGAUAGAUGUUUUCUAUCCUCCGUGGAGUUACUGUGAGGAGUUUGAAAAUAAGAAGGUUAGUGAAUCUGUUAUUUGGUGUAACAUUUUUUUUCCCCAGAAACAACAACUUGAAAGAUGCGCUUCAGAGGCAGACAACAAAACAUGCUGAUAAGGACAAACGUAAGCUAAGCAUGUAGGCAAGCAUGUAAGCUAAGCAUGUAGGCUAAGCGCUAAGCAUGUAAGCUAAGCAUGUAGGCUAAGCAUGUAAGCUAAGCAUGUAGGCUAAGCAUGUAAGCUAAGCAUGUAAGAGGGUGACUUGGUGUUCUGUUUUCUUGAAUCAUUCAUUUGUAGGACGGCAGUUUCACACCGACGUCACGGUGGACGCUGGAGGUGGGAGGGAGG